rnacentral:rRNA from 1 species
GCCACGCCCGCUCAAGAAACGUUAAAGAAUUGACGGGACCCCGCACAAGCGGUGGAUCAUGUUGUUUUAAUUCGAUGAUACGCGAAGAACCUUACCAGGUCUUGACAUCCCCCGCGAUGCUUUAGAGAUAAAGCGGAGGUAUUCGGGGAGACAGGUGGUGCAUGGUUGUCGUCAGCUCGUGUCGUGAGAUGUUGGGUUAAGUCCCGCAACGAGCGCAACCCCUAUUGCUAGUUACCAUCAUUAAGUUGGGGACUCUAGCGAGACUGCCAGUGAUAAACUGGAGGAAGGUGGGGAUGACGUCAAAUCAUCAUGCCCCUUAUGACCUGGGCUACAAACGUGAUACAAUGGCUGGAACAAAGGGAUGCGAAGCAGUGAUGUGGAGCGAAACCCAUAAAAACAGUCUCAGUUCGGAUUGAAGUCUGCAACUCGACUUCAUGAAGUCGGAAUCGCUAGUAAUCGCGGAUCAGAACGCCGCGGUGAAUACGUUCUCGGGGUUU